GCAUAACGCGAAGAACCUUACCCACCUUUGACAUGUAUGGAAUCCCGAAGAGAUUUGGGAGUGCUCGCAAGAGAGCCAUAACACAGGUGCUGCAUGGCUGUCGUCAGCUCGUGUCGUGAGAUGUUGGGUUAAGUCCCGCAACGAGCGCAACCCUUGUCUUUAGUUGCCAGCGAGUCAUGUCGGGCACUCUAAGGAGACUGCCUCGGAUAACGAGGAGGAAGGUGGGGAUGACGUCAAGUCAGCAUGGCCUUUAUGUCCAGGACUACACACGUGCUACAAUGGGCGGCACAGAAGGACGCGAGACCGCGAGGUCAAGCCAACCCUUAAAACCGUUCUCAGUUCGGAUUGCAGGCUGCAAUUCGCCUGCAUGAAGUCGGAAUCGCUAGUAAUCGCGGAUCAGCUACGCCGCGGUGAAUACGUUCUCGGGUCUUGUACACACCG
rnacentral:rRNA from 1 species